AAAAUAAGAAAACCAAGCUAGGUAUUCGCCCUUGCUCAAGCAAAUUAAGAUCAAGAACAGAAGAAAACGGAAUUAGAUCAGGGAAAGUCAAAAGUAGUCGACUAUGUCCGUCGAUAUCCGAGAGUUCUAAAGACUUGCUCAGGUUGGAAGACGUUGGAGUCGUGAUCACACUAUCCGGUUAUGGCUUCGGUAAAUUAAAGCUUUGUGUUUUUGGUUAUGUGGCAUGUAUAGGCUAGUUUUAAUUUAGUUUAUAUAUAUAUAUAUAUAUAUUUAGCCAUACGAAAAUGGCUUGAUCUAAUGCUAAUGAUCCAAGGUUUAAGUAAUUUUGGUCAUAGUAAAGGCGUGGGGUAUGCUUGGUAUAUGAAUUUGAUAAGACGUAAUGAUAUAUAUAUAUGUGUGUGUGUGUGUCUUUGAUAAGUUAUUUGAUAAUUCGGUAUGUAAAGGACUAAUGAUUUUAAUGCUUGAAUUACAAAAUUUGUUAUAUGUAUACAUAGUGGUAUGAUCGAUUAUGGUAA